AACGAACGCUGGCGGCAGGCCUAACACAUGCAAGUCGAAGGAGAAGCUUGACUUCGGUCGAGUGGAAACUGGCGCACGGGUGAGUAACGCGUGGGAAUCUACCCUGAGGUGGGGAAUAACCGCUGGAAACGGCGGCUAAUACCGCAUGUGCCCUAUGGGGCAAAGCUCCGGCGCCUUGGGAUGAGCCCGCGUUAGAUUAGGUAGUUGGUGAGGUAAAAGCUCACCAAGCCGACGAUCUAUAGCUGGUCUGAGAGGAUGAUCAGCCACACUGGGACUGAGACACGGCCCAG
rnacentral:rRNA from 1 species